rnacentral:rRNA from 1 species
AAGCACUCCGCCUGAGGAGUACGACCGCAAGGUUGGAACUCAAAGGAAUUGACGGGGGCCUACAACAAGUGGUGGAGCAUGUGGUUUAAUGCGAUAAUCCGCGCAAAACCUUACCAACCCUUGACAUAUUAAAGAGUUUUUGAUUCUUUAAUUAGUAAAAAGGAUUAAAAAUUUGAUUUUCUACAGGUGUUGCACGACUGUCGUCAGCUCGUGUCGUAAGAUGUUCGGUUUAUUCCUUUAACGAGCGUAACUCUUGUCUUUAUUAAAUUUAAUACUUAAAAAAGUUUAACAAAUUUUUAUCGUUUUAUACUUUAAAAUGUUUAAUAAACUUUUUCUAAGCUUUAAAAGAAACAGUCUAUAAUAAAUUGAAGGAAGGUAAGAAUCAAGUCAAGUCUCUGUGGCCCUUAUGGGUUGGGCUACACACGUGCUACAAUGAAAAUUACAAAAGGUUACGUUUUUUAGUUUAAAGUUAAUCUUCAAAAAUUUUCUCAGUUCGAAUUAUAAACUGAAACUCGUUUAUAUGAAGUUGGAAUCACUAGUAAUCGCAAAUCAGCAUGUUGCGGUGAAUAUGUAUCUUGGCCUUGUACACACCGCCCGUCACAUGCAGAGAGUUAGUUUUACUUGAAGUUUUUUUGAUAUGAAAUUAAAAACUUAGAUUUUUAAUUUGUAGAAGACCAUUGAGAAAUUAAUAAUUUGGAUGAAGUCGUAACAAGGUAGCUGUACGGGAACGUGUAGCUGGAACA